UUGAACGCUGGCGGCAGGCCUAACACAUGCAAGUCGAGCGGCAGCGCGGGGCAACCUGGCGGCGAGCGGCGGACGGGUGAGUAACGCGUAGGAAUCUACCCAGUAGCGGGGGAUAGCCCGGGGAAACUCGGAUUAAUACCGCAUACGCCCUAAGGGGGAAAGCAGGGGAUCGUAAGACCUUGCACUAUUGGAAGAGCCUGCGUUGGAUUAGCUAGUUGGUAGGGUAAAGGCCUACCAAGGCGACGAUCCAUAACUGGUCUGAGAGGAUGAUCAGUCACACCGGAACUGAGACACGGUCCGGACUCCUACGGGAGGCAGCAGUGGGGAAUAUUGGACAAUGGGGGCAACCCUGAUCCAGCCAUGCCGCGUGUGUGAAGAAGGCCUUCGGGUUGUAAAGCACUUUAAGUGGGGAGAAAGGUUCGGCAGCUAAUACCUGCCGGAAGUGAUGUUACCCACAGAAUAAGCACCGGCUAACUCUGUGCCAGCCGCCGCUGUAAGAC
rnacentral:rRNA from 1 species